GACGUAGGGCGCGAGCGUUGUCCGGAAUUAUUGGGCGUAAAGAGCUCGUAGGCGGCUUGUUGCGUCCGCUGUGAAAACCCGUGGCUCAACCAUGUGGUCUGCAGUCGAUACGGGCAGGCUUGAGUUCGGUAGGGGAGACUGGAAUUCCUGGUGUAGCGGUGAAAUGCGCAGAUAUCAGGAGGAACACCGGUGGCGAAGGCGGGUCUCUGGACCGAUACUGACGCUGAGGAGCGAAAGCGUGGGGAGCGAACAGG
rnacentral:rRNA from 1 species